UCGGGGAAAGAAAAUAAAAAUGGAAAGUUGUUUUUAACUACCAAACAAUGAAACCAAACGUCCAAAACAACUUUUUUUUCUCAUUUUGAUAUCGAGCACCGAUACGGUAGCCAGAAUUUUUUCUUUUUUUUUUGUUUGUUUGUUUAAUUCGGUUCUCUCUCACUGAUUUCCAUCAAUGGCUUUGUGAUCAGACAUCUGGUUCUUGUGGUCGAGUGCUGCAUUCUGGUUUAAUUUGGUUGAGAGCUUGCUAUUGGCCAGAAACAUUAUCAGUUAUGACAUCAUAUGAAGUGCUCACUCUGUUGGCGGGGUUCUGGAAGUUGAUUGACAUGCAUUUUUACCAUACAAAUUUCUGAGGAUUAAUUGAGGUGAGUGAGGUGAGACUUAAUUCCGGGAAUAAAAUUGUCAUUUGUUAUGACAUUCAACUUCAACAUGCAAGC